rnacentral:misc_RNA from 1 species
AGGGAAAAUGGUGGAAUUACUCGAAGAAUACGGAAUUGUUAUAUCAAGAAUGAGAGAGCAGCUGUUUGUUCCAAGGCGUUUGCAGGUUCCUCUGUUUUUACAGAGCCUUCGUUCCCCUGUUAUUCGAGAUGAUUCUUCUUCUUUCCUUGUUUACUUUUAGUUAUAUCUAUACCAACAAUUUUACUGGUUAAGUUUAUAGCUCAGAGCCACUUUAAUUA